rnacentral:rRNA from 1 species
AAAGGGAAUAAUGCUACCCUGAACAAGCCUGAUCCUGUCUGAUCUCGGAAGCUAAGCAGGGUCGUGCCUGGUUAGUACUUGGAUGGGAGACCACUUAGGAAGACCAGGUACUGUAGGUG